UACGGGGGGGGGUAAGCGUUGUUCGGAAUUACUGGGCGUAAAGGGCUCGUAGGCGGCCAACUAAGUCAGACGUGAAAUCCCUCGGCUUAACCGGGGAACUGCGUCUGAUACUGGAUGGCUAGAGGUUGGGAGAGGGAUGCGGAAUUCCAGGUGUAGCGGUGAAAUGCGUAGAUAUCUGGAGGAACACCGGUGGCGAAGGCGGCAUCCUGGACCAAUUCUGACGCUGAGGAGCGAAAGCCAGGGGAGCAAACGGG
rnacentral:rRNA from 1 species